AUGUGGUUUAAUUCGAUGAUACGCGAGAACCUUACCUGGGCUCAAAUGUAUGUUGACGUAUUCUGAAAGGGAUACUUCUUCGGACAAUAUACAAGGUGCUGCAUGGUUGUCGUCAGCUCGUGCCGUGAGGUGUCGGGUUAAGUCCCAUAACGAGCGCAACCCCUAUCAUUAGUUGCCAUCAGGUCAAGCUGGGGACUCUAAUGAAACUGCCUACGCAAGUAGUGAGGAAGGUGGGGAUGACGUCAAAUCAGCACGGCCCUUACGUCCAGGGCUACACACGUGCUACAAUGGCCGGUACAAAGGGCAGCUACCUGGUGACAGGAUGCUAAUCUCAAAAGCCGGUCUCAGUUCGGAUCGGAGUCUGCAACCCGACUCCGUGAAGCUGGAAUCGCUAGUAAUCACGCAUCAGCCAUGGCGCGGUGAAUACGUUCCCGGGCCUU
rnacentral:rRNA from 1 species